CACGUAGGGUGCAAGCGUUGUCCGGAAUUAUUGGGCGUAAAGGGCUCGUAGGCGGUCUGUCACGUCGGCUGUGAAAACCCGAGGCUCAACCUCGGGCCUGCAGUCGAUACGGGCAGACUAGAGUUCGGUAGGGGAGACUGGAAUUCCUGGUGUAGCGGUGAAAUGCGCAGAUAUCAGGAGGAACACCGGUGGCGAAGGCGGGUCUCUGGGCCGAAACUGACGCUGAGGAGCGAAAGCGUGGGGAGCGAACAGG
rnacentral:rRNA from 1 species